rnacentral:rRNA from 1 species
ACGCACGCUGGCGGCGUGCUUAACACCUUCAAGUCGAACGGAAAGGCCCUGCUUUUGUGGGGUGCUCGAGUGGCGAACGGGUGAGUAACACGUGAGUAACCUGCCCUUGACUUUGGGAUAACUUCAGGAAACUGGGGCUAAUACCGGAUAGGAGCUCCUGCUGCCUGGUGGGGGUUGGAAAGUUUCGGCGGUUGGGGAUGGACUCGCGGCUUAUCAGCUUGUUGGUGGGGUAGUGGCUUACCAAGGCUUUGACGGGUAGCCGGCCUGAGAGGGUGACCGGCCACAUUGGGACUGAGAUACGGCCCAGACUCCUACGGGAGGCAGCAGUGGGGAAUAUUGCACAAUGGGCGAAAGCCUGAUGCAGCAACGCCGCGUGCGGGAUGACGGCCUUCGGGUUGUAAACCGCUUUCGCCUGUGACGAAGCGUGAGUGACGGUAACGGGUAAAGAAGCACCGGCUAACUACGUG